GGGCUUGUAGCUCAGCUGGGAGAGCGCUGCGUUCGCAACGCAGAGGUCAUGGGUUCGAGUCCCACCAGGUCCA
rnacentral:tRNA from 1 species